AGUUGAGACGGUGACGUACUUUAUUGACAAUAAUCUAUCAAAGAAGAAAAAAGAACUAUUGAAUUAACAAAGAUGAAUUCAUAUGUUACUACUACCUACAAUAGUCAUAAGUAACAUAAAUCACAGAAAAGAAGAAUUGAAGAAUUAAAAAAAUCAUUAUCACCAAAGUACAUAUUUAUAGAUGUAAAUGAAGACGAAAUGGAAUCAAUUUGUUACUAAUUAGUAAUUCAUAUUCAAAAGUUUGCAUGUUUAUGUUUGUGUUUUGGGUACAGAAUAAUAAAUACAAUUUUAGACUAGGUAUACUUUAUACAUACAACUUACUAUAACGCAAGUAUGCUGACUAAGUCAUGUUAGCACAGCCACAAAGUAUGUGUUGAGACUUGAAAUUAUGUUGAUACAACCAAGUUGUAAGUUUGAUAACAUGGAAGAACAGUAUUACUGAUGUCCUACAUGUGUAUGAGUUAGCCAGUCUUAGUUUGCACACACUUACCAAAAUUACAACUUAUUUGCGCACAAAUUAUUUCUCUUACAAUUACUCGUUAUGAAAACUAAUAACUGUUGUACACUGAGUAUUUAUGGUAGCCAUUGAUUUAAUUUUUUUAUUUCUACCACAGAAUGAGAAAUAACCACUUUUUAACACUCUUUACUUUGAAAAUAUUUCUAAUUUCACAAACCUGUUUCAAUAAAUUGAUUAAAGUUUAUUGAUUGGUAAUAAUUUAUGCACGUCCAAGUGAUUACUUUUAUCAUAUUGUGUGCGCAAACAAGUUCCAAUUUUUUAAAUGGAAAAGUAACCUAACAAAAACAUGAUUGUAAAUCGUUGUAUAAGCUUUUUGAAAGACACCUUAUAGUCACUAAAAUGUUAUACAAAAGCAAAUGAAUGUGAGACUAGAUGUACAGUUGCUUUCAUAUUUGGUCUCUAAAGCAAUUGUUUAAGGUGGAAAAAAGUAUAUAUAUAGAUAAUAUGAAGUGUGAGAAAUUAAUUUAAUGGCCAAAUUGUAAUCUAACAAUAUUGA